GACGAACGCUGGCGGCGUGCUUAACACAUGCAAGUCGAACGGUGAAGCGCCUUCCUUUUUGGUGGGUGUGGAUGAGUGGCGAACGGGUGAGUAACACGUGAGUAACCUGCCCCCUUCUUCUGGAUAACCGCAUGAAAGUGUGGCUAAUACGGGAUAUUCUGGGUCUGUCGCAUGAUGGGUCUGGGAAAGAUAUUGUUUCGGUGGGGGAUGGGCUCGCGGCCUAUCAGCUUGUUGGUGGGGUGAUGGCCUACCAAGGCGGUGACGGGUAGCCGGCCUGAGAGGGUGGACGGUCACACUGGGACUGAGACACGGCCCAGACUCCUACGGGAGGCAGCAGUGGGGAAUAUUGCACAAUGGGCGCAAGCCUGAUGCAGCGACGCCGCGUGAGGGAUGGAGGCCUUCGGGUUGCGAACCUCUUUCGCCAGUGAAGCAGGCCUGCCUCGUUUGUGGGUGGGUUGACGGUAGCUGGAUAGGAAGCGCCGGCUAACUACGUG
rnacentral:rRNA from 1 species